CACACAACUGAGUUCAAGGUAAGAACUGGACUCUCGGUAUUUUGGUGCCACAAGGGGAAGAGCUUGUAACACCCCGUGACUGGCAGUUCCCUCAGAGACUUUACAAGCAAAAGAAACGGGCCAGACGACUUCAACCGGACUAUAUAUAUAUAUAUACGUUUCUGUCAUUUCUGUAGAGCCCAAGCCUCCAAGACGACAGACGGACAACUGUUCCAAAGGUAGGACACACAUAUUAGACGACUAUUUAGCAAGCAUGCAAACUAUAGGGGAUGCAAAUUAUAGGAGAGCCCAAAUGCUUAACCUGUAAAGUUUGAAGAUAUUUAGAUCUUCUGGCAUUUCCAUUUGCUUAAUGACAGAAGUAAGAACUAAUCCCAAAGUCCAUAUCUGAAGAUUUUCCUAGUUUUGAGAAGUGUCAGGAUAUAGAUUUUGGAGUGACCUGUCUCAGCUGCGUUAGAUUAGCUGAAUGAACAUGAAGAAUCUUCUUUUAAGAAGAAAUGGGAUCUCAAGAGUCAGGGCACUUCCACAUACAAGUAUGGUUUGCGUGUACAGAAAUGGCAUGUAAAGAAAUUAACGUAAAAGUCUAAAAAAUUUCAGAAGUUUAAGAUUUCUCUUACCCGAUGGUUUGUUGAAUAAUAUUUACCUUUUAUCUUUCACAGAUAUUUUGUUUAAAAAUAUGAACGUGUAACAAUGCCCUCUGAAAGAUGUCAUGUUGACAGGGGUACAGCCAAAAUGACAAGAGGGUGACCUGUCGCUGAACUCGGGAGCAGAAACUCCAUCCUGUAUUUGAUAAACUUUCCUCUCAAAACCAAUACAUGUACAAGGAACUAGAGCUGCAAAGACAGGGAGGGAGGAUGCCUGUGGCUCACAUCCUUUCCAGUUCCCCCUCACUGGUACGAGUUUUCAGAAUGAUGGCGUGGAUUUAUUCGAAGGAAACAGUGUGGAAACAGACCUGGAUGCAUGUGACAGAGCUGGAGGGAUCCCAGUAUAAUUAAUGCAUAGUGAAACAACUUACCUCGACACGAAGAUUGCAGCUGUGAAACAGAACAUUUGAAAGCUGCAGAAGCGUUUGGGACGAGGAUCUUCUGAUUGAAUUGAUGUAUUUAUUGGUUUGCUAGUGUAUGUAGUGUUUUAUCAAGAAAGUGACGUUAACUACGCUGCCCCCAUUGCGUUACGAGCUGUGACGCCACGGAGCAGGCUGAGGAGCUGCGUGAGGCUGCGUGCCGAUGCGGGAAGCCCGGCUUCAGCGCCUGCGAGCGAUGCUGCGGUGCCUGAUCACAUCUGCAUUUCCUCUCUGGCAGAAUCCACACGUUUUAGCGUGAAAGCCUGCUUUUUAACUGCUGUCCCAUUUCCUAUGUAUUCUUUCUUCAUGUUCUUCUAAAUUGUUUCUCAGUUGCUGUAUACAGAAUAAACUGCAAUAACAAGGUGUAAUUCUAGAUCUA
rnacentral:lncRNA from 1 species